rnacentral:sRNA from 1 species
AUUAUGAAUGAAUGUCGAGAAGGUUGUAGUGGCCUUUUGGGGAUGUGACCCUUGAUGACAUCCACCUCCAAGCUGUGCUUAUGUGUAGCUUGGGAUGAUUACAUGGAGAAUGAUGUUGAAGGGCAUUUAUGAAUUUUUUAUAUAUAAACCCCUAUAGCAAGUUAUAGAAAGGGAUAAUGUUAUACCCUGUAAUAAUAAAAAUAUAUAACAAUUUCAGCCACGGAUUCUUGGCUCUCGCUAGAUGAAGAAGGCGCAAAUGCGAUAAGUAAUGUGAAUUGCAGAAUUCGUGAAUCAUCCGAAUCUUUGAACGCAUCUUGAACGCCUUGGUAUUCCGAGGAGUAUGCCUGUUUGAGUGUCAUGAAAUUUCCCAGUGGCGUCUAGCUUUUUAGGUAAGGGGGAGGUUGGAGUUCGAACAUUAUUUUCUCACUAACAAAUAAAAUUGCCUGGUGGGCUCCUCCAAAUAAAUGAGCUCUUUCGGGAGAGAUCCUACCUCCGUAACCUUAUUGGGAUAGUAUUUACCUAGGUGUGAAGGCUGUAGUUAGAGUAACUACAUUAUGGAGACUUCCUAUGAGAAAGGGAGGUCUGGCGAUAAAUCACGCCUGACUAGGAGAGAUGACAUCCGACUCCAAUGCGGUGAGGACUACCUCGUUGAACUAGAUAUCAUGAGGGCGAGGAA